rnacentral:misc_RNA from 1 species
UAUACCUGCUGGGAGUCAACA